CGCAACUUGCGCCCUCUGGUAUUCCGGAGGGCAUGCCUGUUUGAGUGUCAUGUAGACUCAUCUACUCAGACUUUUCUGUCUGAGCGAGAUGGAUUUGGAGGUUUUGCCUUUGUCUGGCUCCUCUCAAAAGCAUUGUGCAGACGUGAUAAGUUUCGUCGUACGCACACGCCGCCCCUCGGGGCAACUACUUGUACUCUGACCUCAAAUCAGGUAGGGCUACCCGCUGAACUUAA
rnacentral:misc_RNA from 1 species